CCUACGGGUGGCAGCAGUGGGGAAUAUUGGACAAUGGGCGAAAGCCUGAUCCAGCCAUGCCGCGUGUGUGAAGAAGGCCUUCGGGUUGUAAAGCACUUUCAGUGGGGAAGAAAGCCUUGGGGCUAAUACCCUCGAGGAAGGACAUCACCCACAGAAGAAGCACCGGCUAACUCCGUGCCAGCAGCCGCGGUAAUACGGAGGGUGCGAGCGGUAAUCGGAAUUACUGGGCGUAAAGCGCGCGUAGGCGGUCUGAUAAGCCGGUUGUGAAAGCCCCGGGCUCAACCUGGGAACGGCAUCCGGAACUGGCAGGCGAGAGUGCAGGAGAGGAAGGUGGAAUUCCCGGGGUAGCGGUGAAAUGCGUAGAGAUCGGGAGGAAUACCAGUGGCGAAGGCGACCUUCUGGACUGACACUGACGCUGAGGUGCGAAAGCGUGGGUAGCAAACAGGAUUAGAUACCCUAGUAGUC
rnacentral:rRNA from 1 species